CGGACGGGUGAGUAAUGUAUGGGGAUCUGCCUGAUGGCGGGGGAUAACUACUGGAAACGGUAGCUAAUACCGCAUAAUGUCUACGGACCAAAGCGGGGGACCUCCGGGCCUCGCGCCAUCAGAUGAACCCAUAUGGGAUUAGCUAGUGGGUAAGGUAACGGCUUACCUAGGCGACGAUCCCUAGCUGGUCCGAGAGGAUGAUCAGCCACACUGGGACUGAGACACGGCCCAG
rnacentral:rRNA from 1 species